rnacentral:rRNA from 1 species
ACGACGUUGAUAGGCUGGGUGUGUAAGCGUUGUGAGGCGUUGAGCUAACCAGUACUAAUUGCCCGUGAGGCUUGACCAU